AAAUUUUAGAAAAGAUUAUUUAUCAUAACAAUUAUUUUAAUAAAUUAUAUUUUAAAAUUAAAGAAAUUUAUAAAUUUAGUUAUAUUAAAUUAAAAUUAAUUAAAAUUGUGCCAGCAAUUGCGGUUAAACAAUUAAUUUAAAUAAAAUAUUUUAAUAAAAAAUAAUUAAAUUAAAUUUAUAUAUAUAUAUAUAUAAUUAUUUAUAUGUGAAAAUAAUUUUUUAAGAUUAAAUAAAAAAAAUUAAUUAUUAAAUAUAAAUAAUAAAAAUAAAUAAUUUAAUAAAGAUUUAUAUUAAACUAGGAUUAGAUACCCUAUUAUAAAAUAAAUAAAUUAAUAAAUUGUUAAUUAGUAAAAGAUAAUUUCUAGAAAAUUAAAGAAUUUGGCGGUAUUUUAUUCAAUUUAGAGGAACUUGUUAUUUAAUUGAUAAUCCACGAUUUAUUAAACUUAAUGUUAAAAAAUUUAUAUAUCGUUGUUAAAAAAAUAUUUUUAAAAAAAUUAUAAUAUUUAGAUUUUUUAAAAUAAAAAUAUAUCAAAUCAUGAUAUAGUUUAUAGUUAAGAAAAAAAAUGAGUUACAUGAAAUUAAUUUAUUGGAUUGAUUGAUUUUGAAAUAAAAAUUUAGAUGUUAAAAUGGAUUUAAAAGUAAAUUUAUAAAUUUAUAUAGAUAGAAUAAAGUUUUAAAAUAUGUACAUAUUGCCCGUCACUCUCAUAUGAAAAUAAGUUUUAUUGAUAAGUUGAGAUAAGUCGUAACAUAGUAGAAAUAUUGGAAAAUGUUUCUUGAAUGAA
rnacentral:ncRNA from 1 species